UCUCUCUAAAUAUAAAUGAAUACUUUUCGGAUUUAAACAAAAAUAUAUUUUUAACCCCGCUCAAAUUAUCCGGAUGAUAAUAGUUAUACCGAGCAUGGUUUCGUAGUUAAAUUCAGACUGUAGUACAUCCGGUUUGAAUUCUGAUGACUUUCCGUUUUCGGAUAGCCAACUCUUUUGAUUUUUGGAACUUAUGACUUAUGGCAAGAGAGAAGAAAACUGCAUGACUUUAAAAGAAAACCAGUGAGAUAAAAUCAUAUAAAAUGUAUGAUAUGAUUCAGGAUGUGGUCAUUUGAGACCUGUUCUGUGGAUGCCCUUAGACAGUGUGUCUACCCAUCACGCCAUCUGAUAUCACUUGUUCUGAGCAUAUUUCUCUCUCAAACUUAAACUACAGAGAGCCUGUGGAUAGAGGAUGAAGAGUGACCUUGGACUAAUUUUCUAGGUCAAAGAUCAUAGAUGAUGUGAAGGAAAUACCAGGGAACUGAUGUUGAAAGAAGUACUUAAUGACGCUUAUGAAUGGACUUAAAUGUGAAAGACUGUUCCAUUGUUUAUCUAAGAUAUAUGAAUUUAUUUAGUAUUUUGAUAUCAUUGAAAAAUACUGUUACAGUUUUUGUACAUCAAAUGAAUUAUUAAACAUAUAAAAUGGUAAUGCUUUUUUUCUCUUACAUUUAAUAAUUUUUUUGAUAGAUUUUUGAAAGAAUACACAUAAUUUCACAUCGCUUCCUUAAGAAAAGUUGGGGAAUCUUGAAGUUUCCCAGUAACUUCAACCAGGAAUGGGACUCCAGAUAAUUCCACCAAGUUUCCGCCACACAGAAACUGCUACACAAGUUCCAUAUAGUUUCCUGAGUCAAGGAAACUUUAGGAAUCGUAAGGUUUCACGAGCUUCCAUGUAGUUUCCCGUAAUAGGAAACCUUAAGAUUCCAUCAAGUUUCCAUUCCACGGAAACCACUACACUCUGAUUCCCUGUGGUUUCCUCAGUCACGGAAACUUUAGGAAUCAUGAGGUUUCCCAAGCUUCCAUGUAGUUUCCUUAAAAAGGAAACCUUAAGAUUCCACCAAGUUUCCAUCCCACGGAAACCACUACGCUCCGAUUCCAUAUGGUUUCCUGAGUCACGGAAACUAUAGGAAUGGUGAGGUUU